GUAUUACUCCCUUCGUUCGGAAAUACUUGUCCUAGAGAUGAAUGUAUCUAGACUUAUUUUAGUUAUAGAUACAUUCAUUAUACUCAUUUUUAGGACAAGUAUUUCCGAACGGAGAGAGUAUAUU
rnacentral:pre_miRNA from 1 species